rnacentral:rRNA from 1 species
GAUGAACGCUGGCGGCGUGCUUAAUACAUGCAAGUCGAGCGAACAGACGCGGCGCUUGCUCUUCUGUCGUUAGCGACGGACGGGUGAGUAACACGUGGAUAACCUUCCUCUCAGACUUAGACAACGGCGAGAAACCCGAGUUAAUACCGUGUCUUCUAUUCAACCGCAUGGUUCAGUAGUGAAAGACGGUUUUGCUGUCACUUAUCGAUGGAUCCGCGCCGUAUUAGCUAGUUGGUAAGGUAACGCCUUACCAAGGAAACGAUGCGUAGCCGACCGGAGAGGGUGAUCGGCCACACGGGAGCGGAGACACGGACCAGACGCCUGAGGGAGGCAGCAGAAGGGAAUCGUACGCAAUGGGCGGAAGCCUGACGGAGCAGCGCCGCGUGAGUGACGAAGGUCCUCGGAUCGGAAAACUCUGUUAUUAGGGAAGAACAAAUGUGUAAGGAGCUGAGCACGGCUUGACGGUACCUAAUCAGAAAGCCACGGCUAACUACGUG